rnacentral:tRNA from 1 species
AGCAGCGUGGCUCAGUGGAAAGAGCCCGGCCUUGGAAGUCAGAGGUCACGGGUACAAGUCCCGGCUCUGCCA